AAGGAAUAUUGGUCAAUGGACGCAAGUCUGAACCAGCCAUGCCGCGUGAAGGAUGAAGGUCCUCUGGAUUGUAAACUUCUUUUAUCUGGGACGAAAACGGGAUUUUUAUCUCAAUUGACGGUACCAGAGGAAUAAGCACCGGCUAACUCCGUGCCAGCAGCCGCGGUAAUACGGAGGGUGCGAGCGUUAUCCGGAUUUACUGGGUUUAAAGGGUGCGUAGGUGGGCUUAUAAGUCAGUGGUGAAAUCUCCGAGCUUAACUUGGAGACUGCCGUUGAUACUAUAGGUCUUGAAUUAUCUGGAGGUAAGCGGAAUAUGUCAUGUAGCGGUGAAAUGCUUAGAUAUGACAUAGAACACCAAUUGCGAAGGCAGCUUACUACAUAUAAAUUGACGCUGAGGCACGAAAGCGUGGGGAUCAAACA
rnacentral:rRNA from 1 species